UCCUUUAACCAACGCCCAACCACUCACACAAACUCAUUAGACCCGCCCCUAAACCAAAACAUUUGACAAGCAUAGUAUGAGAGACAGAACUGCAUCUUGGCGCACAACAGUACCGCAAGGGAAACAAGAAAGAAAAAUUAAACACUUUAAAGCAAAAUAAGCAGAGAUUAAAACCCAUACCUCUUGCAUCAUGGUUUAACAAGUCAACCAUGGACAAAACGCCCCAUUUCUCUUAGCCCAUUACCCCGAAAUCAAGUGAGCUACCUCUAACCAACUUAUAAGAGUCAACCCGUCACUGUAGCAAAAGUGUGGGACGAGUUAGAGAUAGAAGUGAAAAGCCUAACGAACUCGACGAUAGCUGGUUAUCCACCAAAUGAACCUAAGUUCAACUUUAGACUCAUUAUGUCAAACCAUUCGACUCACAAUUUAGCCUAAAAGAUAAUCAAUGAGGGCACAGCCUCAUUGAAAAGGAAACAGCCCCAAUUAGAGAACCAUCUACCUUAUUUUCUCCCGUAGGCCUUAAAGCAGCCAACAAAAACAAAAUGCGUUACAGCAACAAACACCCACAAUACCACAGUAUAUAAACACCUCCUACUAUCCACUGGAUAAAUCUAUCAACAUAGAAUCACCCAUGUUAAAACUAGUAAUAAGAAAAAUUCUCUAGUGCACAAGAAAAUAUUAACAGACAUAAUAAAUUGAACCAAACAAAACACAAGAAAACCCUACCCACCAACACUGUUAACCCAACCCAGGCGUGCAUAAAGAAAGAUUAAAAGUUACAAAAGGAACUCGGCAAAUAAAGUCCCAACUGUUUACCAAAAACAUAGCCUUUAGCCCAACAAGUAUUAAAGGUAAUGCCUGCCCAGUGAUAUUUUCAACGGCCGCGGGAUCCUACACCGUGCAAAGGUAGCAUAAUCACUUGUCAUCUAAAUAAUGACUAGUAUGAAUGGCCCUAUGAGGACUUCCCUGUCUCUUGUAACCAAUCAAUGAAACUGAUCCCCCAGUCCAAAAGCUGGGAUAAAAUCACAAGACGAAAAGACCCUGUGGAACUUAUAAGUGCCAAUCAACAAAAUGACACAAUCACUUUUAGUUGGGGCAACUUUGGAACAAAACAAAACUUCCAAUUUAUGAUAAUAAUUUAACCCAAAAUUAGGUCCACACACCAACCUUUGACCAACAAUUGACCCAGUAUUACUGAUUAAAGAAACAAGCUACCCCAGGGAUAACAGCGCCAUCCCCUCUUAGAGCCCAAAUCGACGAGCGGGGCUUACGACCUCGAUGUUGGAUCAGGGCCCCCAAACAGUGCAGCAGCUGUUAAAGGUUUGUUUGUUCAACAAUUAAUGCCCUACGUGAUCUGAGUUAAGACCGGAGUAAUCCAGGUCGGUUUCUAUCUGUGCAAAAGUUUUUUCUAGUACGAAAGGACCGAAAAAACCAAGUCAAUGUUACAGACACACUUGCCAAUCACAAACUGACACCACUAAAAUUUUAAAUAGGCCAAAAUUAAUCAGCCCAAAACCAGGGCUUU
rnacentral:rRNA from 1 species